AUUUAAGGGCAGUAGUGGGGGCAAGGGUGUUAUGCUGAGAAUUGUUGUGUGCCUAAGGCCUUUAGAAGCUGUGUUAAGGUUCCAUUGUGCAUGAAUUGUGCAAAUCAGAAUGAUAGUAUCCCUACCUGCUGUGUAUCUGGGAGUGCCAUCUGGCCAUCAGGAAUCAAGCUACCUUGGAAGAGAAGGCAAAAAAAACAUGACGCUCAUGAUUGGUCUGCUUCUGCUGGAAGAGAGAUGGGCUGGUUAUGAGGAGGCUGCUGAAUUUGAAGAGUCAGGAGCUACAUGCUCAGCAC